UACGGGGGGAGCAAGCGUUGUUCGGAUUUACUGGGCGUAAAGGGCGCGUAGGCGGCCACCGCAAGUCGGACUGUGAAAUCUCCGGGCUUAACCCGGAAAGGUCAGCCGAUACUGCGGGGCUAGAGUGCAGAAGGGGCAACUGGAAUUCUCGGUGUAGCGGUGAAAUGCGUAGAUAUCGAGAGGAACACCUGCGGCGAAGGCGGGUUGCUGGGCUGACACUGACGCUGAUGCGCGAAAGCUAGGGGAGCGAACGGG
rnacentral:rRNA from 1 species